UACCUACGGGACGCAGCAGUGGGGGAUAUUGCACAAUGGGGGAAUCCCUGAUGCAGCGACGCCGCGUGAGUGAAGAAGUAUUUCGGUACGUAAAGCUCUAUCAGCAGGGAAGAAAAAUGACGGUACCUGACUAAGAAGCCCCGGCUAACUACGUGCCAGCAGCCGCGGUAAUACGUAGGGGGCAAGCGUUAUCCGGAUUUACUGGGUGUAAAGGGAGCGUAGACGGCUGAGCAAGUCAGAAGUGAAAGCCCGGGGCUCAACCCCGGGACUGCUUUUGACACUGCGGAGCUGGAGUGCAGGAGAGG
rnacentral:rRNA from 1 species